UACAGAGGUCCCGAGCGUUGUUCGGAUUCAUUGGGCGUAAAGGGUGCGUAGGCGGCGCUGUAAGUGGGGUGUGAAAUCCCGGGGCUUAACCCCGGGACUGCAUUCCAUACUGCGGUGCUUGAGGACUGGAGAGGAGACUGGAAUUUACGGUGUAGCAGUGAAAUGCGUAGAGAUCAUGAGGAAGACCAGUGGCGAAGGCGGGUCUCUGGACAGUUCCUGACACUGAGACACGAAGGCCAGGGGAGCAAACGGG
rnacentral:rRNA from 1 species